rnacentral:rRNA from 1 species
ACGUGAAACCGGUCAGGGGUAAACGGGUGGUUCCCGAAAGUGCGAAAGGGGAGAUUCAGGUCUCGCCGCGCGCCGGGCCGCGCCCGCGACAAGGGAUGGAGUUCUCGCGGCCGUGGGGCAACCCACGGUCCGGGACCACCCCGCGGGUGCGGCCCGGCGCCGGAGUGACGCACUUCUCCCCCGGUAGAACGUCGCGAUCCGUCGGUCGCCGGCCUAAGGCCCCCGGUGGAGCCGAGGGCCUCUCGACCCGGGGGAUCCCGGCCGGGUGCCCGACGGUACGAAGAGAGGAAGGAGUCGGCGCGCCUANGCGUCCGCCCCUCCGCAAGCACCCGCGGGAGUGGGAGGCGGGCCCGGCCCGGCCUCUCUUCNUCGGGGCUGUUUGUACAGGAGGUGUGGUCGGGG